rnacentral:rRNA from 1 species
AACGAACGCUGGCGGCAUGCCUAACACAUGCAAGUCGAACGAAGGCUUCGGCCUUAGUGGCGCACGGGUGCGUAACGCGUGGGAAUCUGCCCCUCGGUUCGGAAUAACGGUUAGAAAUGACUGCUAAUACCGGAUGAUGUCGAAAGACCAAAGAUUUAUCGGCGAAGGAUGAGCCCGAGUAGGAUUAGGUAGUUGGUGGGGUAAAGGACUACCAAGCCGACGAUCCUUAGCUGGUCUGAGAGGAUGAUCAGCCACACUGGGACUGAGACACGGCCCAGACUCCUACGGGAGGCAGCAGUGGGGAAUAUUGGACAAUGGGCGAAAGCCUGAUCCAGCAAUGCCGCGUGAGUGAUGAAGGCCUUAGGGUUGUAAAGCUCUUUUACCAGGGAUGAUAAUGACAGUACCUGGAGAAUAAGCUCCGGCUAACUCCGUGCCAGCAGCCGCCGUAA